CUACGGGUUGCUCCAGUGAGGAAUAUUGCACAAUGGGGGGAACCCUGAUGCAGCAACGCCGCGUGGAGGAUGACGCAUUUCGGUGUGUAAACUCCUUUUAUAUGUCAAGAAAAUGACGGUAGCAUAUGAAUAAGCACCGGCUAACUCCGUGCCAGCAGCCGCGGUAAUACGGAGGGUGCAAGCGUUACUCGGAAUCACUGGGCGUAAAGGACGCGUAGGCGGGUUGGAAAGUCAGGCGUGAAAUCCUACAGCUUAACUGUAGAACUGCACUUGAAACUUCUAAACUAGAGUAUGGGAGGGGGAGAUGGAAUUAGUGGUGUAGGGGUAAAAUCCGUAGAUAUCACUAGGAAUACCUAAAGCGAAGGCGAUCUCCUGGAACAUUACUGACGCUAAGGCGUGAAAGCGUGGGGAGCAAACAGGAUUAGAUACCCCUGUAGUC
rnacentral:rRNA from 1 species